UUACGGCUAUAUCAUGUUUAAACAUUGGUUCCUGUAUGAUCAUCGAAGUUAAGCAACGUCAAGCCUGAUCAAUACCUAGAUGAGUGACGACUUGGGAAUACCAGGUACUGUAAG